rnacentral:rRNA from 1 species
AUGAAACACUCCUACGGGAGGCAGCAGUGGGGAAUAUUGGACAAUGGGCGAAAGCCUGAUCCAGCCAUGCCGCGUGUGUGAAGAAGGUCUUCGGAUUGUAAAGCACUUUAAGUUGGGAGGAAGGGCAUUAACCUAAUACGUUGGUGUCUUGACGUUACCGACAGAAUAAGCACCGGCUAACUCUGUGCCAGCAGCCGCGGUAAUACAGAGGGUGCAAGCGUUAAUCGGAAUUACUGGGCGUAAAGCGCGCGUAGGUGGUUUGUUAAGUUGAAUGUGAAAUCCCCGGGCUCAACCUGGGAACUGCAUCCAAAACUGGCAAGCUAGAGCAUGGUAGAGGGUAGUGGAAUUUCCUGUGUAGCGGUGAAAUGCGUAGAUAUAGGAAGGAACACCAGUGGCGAAGGCGACUACCAGGACUGAUACUGACACUGAGGUGCGAAAGCGUGGGGAGCAAACAGGAUUAGAUACCCGUGUAGUCCGAAGUUC